rnacentral:tRNA from 1 species
GCCGAUGUGGUGAAACUGGCAUACACGCAGCUCUCAAAAAGCUGUGGCUAUAACAAGCCGUGAGAGUUCGAGUCUCUCCAUCGGCA